AUUGAGAUACCUGAUUAAGUGGGUUAUCUUGAUACGAUAAAUAAAGUAAAAGUAAUUCAUUAUAUA
rnacentral:tRNA from 1 species